rnacentral:rRNA from 1 species
UACGGGGGGAGCAAGCGUUGUUCGGAUUUACUGGGCGUAAAGGGCGCGUAGGCGGUCGUGACAAGUCACUUGUGAAAUCUCCGGGCUUAACUCGGAACGGUCAAGUGAUACUGUCGGACUAGAGUACAGAAGGGGCAACUGGAAUUCUCGGUGUAGCGGUGAAAUGCGUAGAUAUCGAGAGGAACACCUGCGGCGAAGGCGGGUUGCUGGGCUGAUACUGAUGCUGAGGCGCGAAAGCCAGGGGAGCGAACGGG